rnacentral:siRNA from 1 species
AUAAGGUUUAUCAUCAUCUUCCCU